UGGAGUGAGAGGCAAGAGCGGUGGUGGGGAGACUAGUUAGGUGAAUACUGCAAUAAUCCAAAUGAGAUGAUGGGGGAAUGAAUCAGGGUAGACUUAAUGGAUAACUCAAGAUAUAAAGGAGUCAUAUCUUACAUUGGAGGGGGGAAGUUGGUUAGUCCUAAUAGUUAGCAGUGGAUACUGCAUCAAGAUGGCUGCUAAUAUUUAUGGGCUCUGAGACUUGGGUCCCAUUCUCAAGAUAUCUUUUCUUGCCCAUGGAAGGAGAUUGGAAAGAAGAGGACAAGAGCAGAGAUCCUACUGUUCGGGAUCUAGAGGUGCUGACUGACCUACAAAAAGUAAGGCAGAGUCAUCUCCUUCCUUCUGCUGUAUGCUCUGCUAUGAACAGAGCUAAAAAUCACCUGAACUGAAACAGCCCAAUUUGUAUGAAGUCUGCCUUGAAGUCAGAUGCUUCUGGGGA